UCCUACGGGAGGCAGCAGUGAGGGAUAUUGCACAAUGGAGGGAACUCUGAUGCAGCAAUGCCGCGUGAGUGAAGGAGGCCCUAUGGGUUGUAAAGCUCUGUGGAAGGGGAAAAUAAUGAUGGUACCCAUUUAGAAAGCACCGGCUAACUACGUGCCAGCAGCCGCGGUAAUACGUAGGGUGCAAGCGUUGUUCGGAAUUACUGGGCGUAAAGGGGGAGUAGGCGGAAAGAAAAGUCAGAUGUGAAAGCCCUGUGCUUAACGCAGGAAGAGCAUUUGAAACUAUCUAACUAGAGUGUAUUAUGGGAGCGUGGAAUUCCUAGUGUAGCGGUGAAAUGCGUAGAUAUUAGGAGGAAGACUCGUGGCGAAGGCGACGCUCUGGGGUAACACUGACGCUGAGGACCGAAAGCAUGGGGAGCAAACAGGAUUAGAUACCCGGGUAGUCCAA
rnacentral:rRNA from 1 species